rnacentral:rRNA from 1 species
AGGAUGAACGCUGGCGGCGUGCCUAACACAUGCAAGUCGAACGAGGAUAGCAAUAUCCGAGUGGCGCACGGGUGAGGAACACGUAGCUGACCUGCCUUCGAGACUGGGAUAACGCCGCGAAAGCGGCGCUAAUACCGGAUAAGCUCCCGAGAGUUAGAGACCUGGGAGAAAAGGGGAACCCACUUGAAGAGGGGGCUGCGGCCCAUCAGGUAGAUGGUGAGGUAACGGCUCACCAUGCCAACGACGGGUCGGGGGUCUGAGAGGAUGACCCCCCACACUGGGACUGAGACACGGCCCAGACUCCUACGGGAGGCAGCAGUGAGGGAUAUUGCGCAAUGGGGGAAACCCUGACGCAGCGACGCCGCGUGGGUGAUGAAGGCCUUGGUCGUAAGCCCUUCGCCCUCGACGAGGAAGGACGGUAGGGGAGGAAGAAGACUCGGCGUAACUACGUGCCAGCAGCCGC